AGUUUAGCAUUGCUUUAAAGAUUACAGUAUGGUGAAGGGGGGAGGGAUCAAAGACUAGGCCCAGCCUGUUCUCCAGCCUUUCUUAUGAGGGGUUAAUCUCCCUUUGAAGAUUUUUAUUGUGGAUGUGAAACUUGAAUCUCUGAAACAGCAGAUGUGGGAAGGGUUUGGACUAUUGUGUUGUUGUUGGAUGUUGAGUGUCUUUGGAAAACAUGAAGGGAAGAAUUGGGGUGAGAAGAAACAAUGAGUUGGGACAGGUAAAAACAGGUCACAUUUCAUAACUUGGACAUCAACCAGGAAUUCCAGUGUAAACAUAAGCUGGCGAUGUCAGAAAUAAAGACACAAAGAAUGCUAAAGGUGCAAAACAACCAGAACAGUUGGGAGAGUGAGGAAGAAUGAACAAUAAAGGGAUUUACCCAUUAACUGACCUUCACAAGUAUUUGCAUGUGAAGGAAUAAAUAAAUAAAUAAAUAAAUUUCCUAGGAUAAAAACAAAGGCUACAGUGUGACCAGUUGGUUUACGAAAAUAAAGGUGGGAGGUAAUUAAGGAACACUGCUGAGGAGCUCAUGCAUGUAUUCUGUGUUCUCUAGCGAAGCUGAUGGGGGAGGUACCUUCUUUUUUAGGGCAAUGAAGAUGGCACUGUGUAGGGACUGGAGUGUUGCGUUAAUGCAUUUGGCAGGAAACAGAUCAACCGAAAGAUAACAAAACACCAAAAGGUUAGACCAUGGAAAAGGUGGAGGACUUGGAUUGUGACUCCAGAGGCCUUUAGGUAUAAAAUUUUAAAAUGUUCCCAUGAAAGCAGCUAAUCCAUAUUAGAUACAGUAGCCAUAGCACAUAAAUUUAGAGUGGAAACAAACUUAAAGUGGUGUUUUUCAGUAUCCUCUAGAAGGAAAGAUGACUCCUAUGAAUUACAGAUUCAUGUUCAUUGCUUCUAGGUAAACCUGUAAAAAUGAUCGUCAUAAGUGUCUGAAACCCUUGGCAGUGGUUAUGAACUGAAAGAGUAAAAUGGGCCUUUCUCUGAAGGAAAACUGUACCUCUUUGAUAUCUUGAUUUUCUUUUUAAUUCACAAAUGGCAGAUAAUUAAGUAGACAAGGCACGAAACAGGAGGUAAAGUGCUAUCAUGUUUCCCCAGGAUAGUAGACUGGAAAAAGAAGUAGCUCUAAAUCUAAGCAUGCCAAAGUGCUAGCUGUUGAAUGACCCAUGAAGAGAUUGACGGGGAGAUUUGAGGGGGCUCAUGGCUGAGUAAGCUCCCAACCGAAGGGAAGCUCCAUGGUGUCUCCAGGUCCUGCACUACAGUUCAAACCCUCAUUUGUUCCCACUCAUAAUGAAGGCUUCAAUUCCACGUGAGAGUUUCAUUUCCAUGAAAAGAUUUAUUGCACAGAUGAUCAAGCCUGAUUUCACAUAGAAGCAGCAUAUUCCAGUAUAAGUGUCCAACAAGGUUUAUUCUCUGGUAUCAACAAGACUCAAACCUCUCUGUUGCUCCGAUGCAGACAGAUUUACUGUACUGAUCUCUGUUCCAGACCCAUACUUACCUGUUGGUGCCAGGAGUUGGUGUUUCAUUUGCUGGAAAGCUUCCAGAGAGCUCUGCGCUCCUGUCAGACCCAUGGUUCCCUGGCUGGAGAGAGUGGAAUGACAUACAGAACCUCAACAGUGCAAGAAAUGGGCACUGAGUGAUGUCUGGAAGCAGAUGAGGUGGGCAGUGUGGGCGCAGUAGCCAUUUACAAACAUCUGUACCAAACAGACUCAUGGUGACGGUUUGAACCGUGUUCAUUCCAGAGAAGUUAACUCAUAAGAAGAAUCAUAUGUGGAUUAUAACAGAGAAAAGAAAGGUA
ensembl:lncRNA